rnacentral:lncRNA from 1 species
UAAAAUAUGGUUGAUAAUCUCUUUCAUAGUUUCUUGUAGGUAGUAAAUGAGAAAAUUUGGAAGUGCUCAUUAAAUGUUACCUACUUUUACAUGUUGAUGUAGAAUCAUAAAAUGUUAAGGAGCAUGGAAAUCUAGAUCUAUUUCCUCCUCUCACAGAUAAACAGUUAAUUUUUGUUGUCAUUGGAACUUUAUCUCCUCAUCCGUCAAUAUGUCAACCCAUGAUUUAGUAGUAGGUGUUGAAAUUACAAUCUGCAAGCCCAAAUGUCUUCCCGCAAGCUAAAAAUAUACACCAUAACACAGGUGCCAUGGUGCACAAGGUGACACGUGCCUGUAGUCCUAGUCACUUAGGAGGCUGAGGCAGGAGCAUCUUGAGCCCAGGAGUUCAUAACCAACCUAGGCAACACAGUGUGACCCAACUUUUAAAUUUAAGGUACUCAAUAGCAUGGGUCAGUUUGAACAAGACCUAUCUUAUUUCUUUGUUAGACACACACUCCUUAAGACCAUGACCAUAAUAUGGAUUAUGAUCAGGUAGAUUGGGAUCAGGUAACUCAUAGCUGGUAUGUUACAAUCAUGAAGUAGGUAUCUAGACAUUGCUAUGUACUGAUUCUUCUUAAUUUUUCCUCCUCCUGAAAUGGAAGAAUAUUAAACAGCAGAUUUUUCUUUUGGAUAUUUUCUUGGAGUUAUUUUCACACUUUCAGUUACUUGAUUUCCUCUAGUGGGAAGACAGGCUGCAGUUUCCUUUGCUGGGCAGAAGAUGAAAUGUUCACAGUACCCAUCUCACACUUAAGUUACAUCAUAUAUGUUAGACCAGAUAGAAAAAUUCCAUGCCUAGCUCCCACAUCCCAAAAUGCAUUGAUUCAAAGACCUGUUAACUGCAAUAUAAUGCAAUUUUUUUCCCCCUCCAGGAAGACUUGGGGAAUGUUUGAUUCCAAGGUGUCACCAAAUUGCUGGUGGAACUGAAGUUCAGGAUUCUUACCUGAGGAAACUAAGGGUAGUUAGGAAGUCUCAACAGAGUGGUUAAAAACAGUCCUUAGGGGUUGUGGUUGUGGCUCAGCCGUAGAAUACUCACCUAGCACAUGCAAAGUCCUGGGUUCAAUCCUCAGCACCACAUAAAAAUGAAUAACAUAAAGGUAUUGUGUGCAACUACGACUAAACUAUAUAUAUAUAUAGAACAGUCCUUAAGAUUUUAACAUGCUAAGAAUGAGCUGAGGAUCUUGUUCAGGUGCAAGUUUGUUUUUUAGGCAAUCUGGGAUGGGGCUCAGAGCCUCCUAUUUUAACAGGUGCCAAGGCCUGGGUUGCUGCUGGCCCAUGGAUCACAUUUCAGGCAUCAAGGAUCUCUGCAGCCAGGUCUUCAUUCAAGUCCCUCUGUGCCACUUUCUACUUGUAUGUCCCAGGCAAGUUUAAAUAGCUGAUGCCUUAGUAUCCUCAUGUGUAAAAUGGUAUGUGAAAUCAAUAGGAUAUAACUUGGGCCACUGGGGUUAUCCUACCUACCUCUGUGCAAUUUCCUAACUCCUAACUCCUCCAAUGUGUGGAUAAAGAACAUUGGGAGGCACACAGUAGUCUUUGUUGUGUCUGAGUUUGACAAGAUAGGUGAGACAUUUGUCUUAAGCUACCCUUGUGGGCCAUGCCAUCAAGAUACCCCAUGAGAGGCAGAGUGACAUUACAGCUGCAUAGGGAACCAUGUGCCAGUCCUGGUAGCUGACCCACAGAAGCAGUGUUCUGUUGAUCUAGUUACAGUGACUCCUCUAAAUCAGCAGUAAGACUGAAGUAAAGCUCUGGCUGGCUCAAAAAGCUGAGCUUUUGUAAGUUGAUAUUUCCUUUCCCAAGUGGCAACUUGUAGUUUUCCGCAAUAAAUAACCCAAUGACUUUGUAUCCUUCUCUUUGUAAUGUUGAGCACUUUCUGAGAUAAUAACUGUAUUUAUUAUUUGUCUCUUCCCCUUAGAAGUCUUGUGAGAACAGGGACCUGGAUUCCCAAGGGCCUAACAUGGUGUCUGCCCAGCGCAUAGCAUGUUCUAAGAAAAUUAUUGAACAAAUGAACUCCAGAAAAAUAACUAAGAACUUAAGACAUGAAAUGGAAGAAAUAAAGGAAAAUCUGUGCUGAAACUAGACAUUGAACUACCCGAUGCAUAUGUAGGGAAAAAAUAAUAUUAGUUGAAAUAGAUACCUGUUAAAAGAACAGAUUAAUAAAAGAAAAAACAAGUUUUAUUAAUAUGUAUAAUUCAUGUACAUGAGAAACCCUGGGAAAAUGAAUAGUUCCUUAGAGGUAACUUUGAAUUACAGUUUAUACAGCAUCUUCAACAAAGAACAGUGAAUUGUAGUGACAGAGGAAAAGCACUUUGAGUCUAGAGACAGCAAAUGAAUGGCAGAUAAAGGCUAAUGAAACUUGUAAAUAUAAAUUCCUCUGGAACCAUCUCCAGGCUGUUAAGUAUCUAAAGUUGGCUUUAAUGGUUAACCUUUGUUCUCCCUGGGAAAGAGUAGGAAACCUUGUCUUUCAAAAUCCAUGCCCUGUUUUUAGAUCAAUAUACGGAGGGUGGAGAGCUCUCUUGGAUCUUUCAUUUGGUCUUCAGUUCAACAAAUCUAUACUUUUGGGGGAAGUGCAUUCUGGUCUUGCACACAUAUGUAAUUCAGACCUUGCCAGACGAUUUCUUAACCCUCAGGCUUAAGUUCAAAUCACUAUUAAAAUAAUUAAUUGGAGGUCAUUAUAUGUAAGGGGCCCCAGGGCUUUGGGUUUCUACAUAAGCAAACUAAAGCCCAACCCAGUAUAAACCAAGCAGACUGCAAAAUAAUCUCAACUGAGAUCCUUCCACUGGAAUGAUCCAGAUAAGCCUGUUGAUCCAGCGUCAUCUUCUUGCCUUCCCUUCAUGCCCCUUCAUUAGAACCAGGAACCCCGUGCAGACCAGAGUUGCCCAAAGCAUGAAUUGCUUCUGUCUGUCUGUUCAAGAUCUUUAAUUUUUUUUAUAUAUAUAUUUUUUUAGUUGUAGUUGGAGACAAUAUUUUAUUUAUUUAUUUUUAUGUGGUGCUGAGGAUCGAACCCAGCGCCUUAUAAGUGCAAGGCGAGCGCUCUACCGCUGAGCCACAACCGCAGCCCCCCAAGAUCUUUAAAUUUUUAAUGUGUCUAAGUUGUUUUGUUUUGUUUUACUGGAGUUUAACCCAGAGCUUUGCACAUGAUAGGCAAGUGCUUUACCACUGAGGUAUGUCCCCAGCCCUGAAUUUUAUCUUUUAACAUUACCAAUUCCCAUUUGUCUAAGUCCAGAGUUCUACUUGUUUGUGUCUAAAAAUUCUUAGGGCUUUACUACUUUAUACUCCCCCAUCUCAUCCCCACUUAUAUGCCUUAGGUACAAAUGCUGUCCCAAUUGGCUCCAAUUUUCCUGGUGGGGAAAAAAAAGUCUGCCUUUUUCCUCCAAUUUGCACAAAGGCACAAGGAAUUCAGUCUCCACAAGGUUUUACAUUUUUUUUUUAGUAAACCACUAAAUGUGGGCGUUACAAAUAGUGCUCACUGCUUGAACCAGCCUUAGCAAUCUGCCCCCUCUCCCUCCCCUUUGCUCUACAAAGUGAAUUCCUCCUCUGGCUUCCUGCAGAGCUCUUUGUGAGCCUUCCUCUGGGAUUGCUCCUUCCACUCCAGCAGCAUAUCAAAGUACUUAUUCCAAAUAAAACCUGUGUUUCCCCUAAAACAAAUCCCUCCACAUCAUGGGCACUGGUAAUGACUUGAAUGACUGUACUCCUUCAAGAAAGCAGUCAAAUGUAUAUAGGAAUAAACUGACCUUUGGUGGAAUGCUAAACAUUGCUUAAAGCAAAACUUUCCAGGGUUUAUAACUAUUUCAGUUUUAUAACUAUGUAAAUUGGAGAUAACUGAUAACAAUGCAAAUAAAUCUGCCAGAUAGAGCGACCACCCUCCUUGAUUCCCUAGGGAAAAGUCAGUUUUGUAGCCUUUGCAAAUUCCUUUCUGUAUUGCUACUGUUUGACUUCUCCUUUGAACUGAUUGUACCUUUUUUUUUUUCCUGGUUCUCUCAUUAAAUUAAUGUGUUAAAUAAAAAU